CCUACGGGAGGCAGCAGUGAGGAAUAUUGGUCAAUGGGCGCGAGCCUGAACCAGCCAAGUAGCGUGAAGGAUGACUGCCCUACGGGUUGUAAACUUCUUUUAUAAAGGAAUAAAGUGAGGCACGUGUGCCUUUUUGUAUGUACUUUAUGAAUAAGGAUCGGCUAACUCCGUGCCAGCAGCCGCGGUAAUACGGAGGAUCCGAGCGUUAUCCGGAUUUAUUGGGUUUAACGGGAGCGUAGAGGGGUUGUUAAGUCAGUUGUUAAAGUUUGCGGAUCAACAGUAAAAUUGCAAUUGAUACUGGCAGUCUUGAGUACAGUUGAGGUAGGCGGAAUUCGUGGUGUAGCGGGGAAAUGCUUAGAUAUCACGAAGAAAUCCGAUUGCGAAGGCAGCUUACUAAACUGCCACUGACAUGUAUGCUCGAAAGUGUGGGUAUCAAACAGGAGUAGAGAGCCCAGUAGGC
rnacentral:rRNA from 1 species